rnacentral:rRNA from 1 species
CAGUCGCCGCGGGAAUGCGAAGGGGGCUAGCGUUGCUCGGAAUGACUGGGCGUAAAGGGCGCGUAGGCGGUUCUGACAGUCAGAUGUGAAAUUCCUGGGCUUAACCUGGGGGCUGCAUUUGAGACGUCAAGACUAGAGUGUGAGAGAGGGUUGUGGAAUUCCCAGUGUAGAGGUGAAAUUCGUAGAUAUUGGGGAGAACACCGGUGGCGAAGGCGGCAACCUGGCUCAUUACUGACGCUGAGGCGCGAAAGCGUGGGGAGCAAACAGGAUUAGAUACCCCAGUAGUCCCUGUCUCUUAUAC